rnacentral:rRNA from 1 species
UACGGAGGGUGCAAGCGUUGUCCGGAUUUAUUGGGUUUAAAGGGUGCGUAGGCGGCCUCUUAAGUCAGUGGUGAAAGCCCGCGGCUCAACCGCGGAACUGCCAUUGAUACUGGGAGGCUUGAGUACAGACGAGGUGGGCGGAAUUGAAGAUGUAGCGGUGAAAUGCUUAGAUAUCUUCAAGAACACCGAUUGCGUAGGCAGCUCACUAGGCUGUAACUGACGCUGAGGCACGAAAGCGUGGGGAGCGAACAGG